rnacentral:rRNA from 1 species
GGGGGCCCGCACAAGCGGUGGAGCAUGUGGUUUAAUUCGAUGCAACGCGAAGAACCUUACCUGGGCUUGACAUCCCGGGAAUCCCUUGGAACAAGGGAGUGCCCUUCGGGGAACCUGGAGACAGGUGCUGCAUGGCUGUCGUCAGCUCGUGUCGUGAGAUGUAGGGUUAAGUCCCGCAACGAGCGCAACCCUUGUCUUUAGUUGCCAUCAUUGAGUUGGGCACUUUAAAGAGACUGCCGGUGUUAAACCGGAGGAAGGUGGGAUGACGUCAAGUCCUCAUGGCCUUUAUGUCUAGGGCUACACACGUGCUACAAUGGGUGGUACAAAGAGCAGCUAACUCGCGAGAGUAUGCAAAUCUCAAAAAGCCAUCCUCAGUUCGGAUUGGAGUCUGCAACUCGACUCCAUGAAGUUGGAAUCGCUAGUAAUCGCGGAUCAGCACGCCCGCGGUCGAAUACGUUCCCGGGCCUU